UUCUAAUUUCGCGCUUUAUUCCCUCUGGAACCCUCUCGCGCUCUCACCCUAACAAAAAUUUCACGCUUGUCUCUCAGCCCCAAAUCGAAACAACAUUCCCUUCCUCCUCCAGACCCAAACCCUAAAACUCUCUCUCUCUCUCUUCCUCCUUCGACGAAAGGUUUGACCUAAGAGCGUUGUAGGCAGCUAAGGAUCAACCCCACCACCCCAUGACCACUGACUGCUCCACAUUUUGUUUUGUAUUUGAAGCGGCCCAUUGAUGUCAAGAGUUUUUAUCAAAUCAUAUAUUCCACAUGAUCAGUUUCACAAGCACUAGAUGGUUAUGAUUUUAGAUCUCUUCAACGACUCUAAAAGGUAAGAAAGACUAUAAUCUAUGUUCCCAGCAGCUGUUAGAAGUCCUUGUACUAAUCUUGCUUGUGUUUUGCAGUUAUGGUUUGCUUCACUUCAUUAACAGAGGAAGAGAAGGAAAAAGCAGUGCAGCUUGGGAUAAAACCAUACUCAUGGAACUAGUUCAUCGAAAUGCUUGCUACAUUCUGGACGAAGACAUCCCUUGUGCACAUAAACUCUAUUUGGUCUAUGAGAAAGUCUGGGCUUCGAGUUAAGGAAGGUGUGCUUGUAAUUAUUUUAGUACCAUUUACACCCACUUUUGGACAUGAAGCAUCACAUCCUCUCAAACUAUCAUGGAGAUAAUCUUUUUGGAUGCUUACUUUGUUUUGGAUAGUGCAAGUAUCAAAUCUUCUCAAACUUUAGAGGAUUGACUUUGUGGGAUUAGUUAAAGACAAUUUUAAUGUACUAGAAUCAUUUUGAAUAAUAGAAAUAUAAUUUAGAGUAC